rnacentral:rRNA from 1 species
GUGUCAGCAGCCGCGGUAAUACGAAGGGGGCUAGCGUUGUUCGGAAUCACUGGGCGUAAAGGGCGCGUAGGCGGCUAGAUAAGUCGGGGGUGAAAGCCUGUGGCUCAACCACAGAAUUGCCUUCGAUACUGUCUGGCUUGAGACCGGAAGAGGUUAGUGGAACUGCGAGUGUAGAGGUGAAAUUCGUAGAUAUUCGCAAGAACACCAGUGGCGAAGGCGGCUGACUGGUCCGGUUCUGACGCUGAGGCGCGAAAGCGUGGGGAGCAAACAGGAUUAGAUACCCCCGUAGUCC